rnacentral:sRNA from 1 species
CAUCGGCGACCUCGUGUCGUGUCCGCGGCCCGGCCACGGCAUCAAUCCCAUCGUGACCGGCAGCCGCUACGU